rnacentral:rRNA from 1 species
AAUUUAUUAAAAAUAAUUAAAUAUAUGUGAAUAAGUCAUGAGAAUUUAUAGGGCACUCAAACAUUUCCUUAAAAUAUUUUCGAACUCUUAAAGUUAUGCAUUACAAAUUAUUUUUUUUUAUAAAGUAACACUAAAUUUACUUUUAUGUAUGUUCUUACAAAAAAAAAUAUAAUUUAAAAUACAAAUUAUAGUUUUUAAACUUUUUAAAAGCUAAUUAGAAGUUUUCAUAUUUUCUGUGCAUCGGCUAAUCCUGUGCCAGCAACCGCGGUAAGACAGAGGAUGCAAGUGUUAUCCGAAAUUAUUGGGCGUAAAGCAUUUGUAGGUGAAUUUUUAAGUCUGUUGUUAAAUACUAUGGCUUAACCUUAAUUUAAGCGGUUGAAACUAUUAAACUUGGAGUACGAAUAGGGGCAGAGGGAAUAUCCGGUGUAGCGGUGAAAUGCGUAGAGAUCGGAGAGAACACCAAUGACGAAAGCACUCUGCUGGGACGAAACUUACAUUGAGAGACGAAAGCUAAGGUAUUAAAUGGGAUUAGAUACCCCAGUAGUCUUAGCCAUAAACGAUGGAUACCAAGUAUUGUGCGUAUCGACCCGUGCAGUGCUAUUGUUAACACGUUAAGUAUCCAGCCUGGGGAGUACGUUCGCAAGAAUGAAACUCAAAAUAAUUGAUGGGGGCCCGCACAAGCGGUGGAGCAUGUGGUUUAAUUCGAUUUAAAGCGAAGAACCUUGACAGGGCUUGACAUGCCAUGAAUCCUCUUGAAAGAGAGGAGUGCUUUAGGGAACAUGGACACAGGUGGUGCAUGGCUGUCGUCAGCUCGUACCGUAAGGUGUUAGGUUAAGUCUUGUAACGAGCGCAACCCUCAUGUUUAGUUGCCAUUUUAAUUUGGUGAAACUCUAAACAUACUGCCGAUGUUAAGCCGGAGGAAGGUUAGAAUGACGUCAAGUCAUCAUGCCCCUUAUGCCCUGGGCGACACAUGUGCUACAAUGGCCGGCACAAAAGUUGCAAUUCCACAAAGAUGAGCUAACACCAAUACAAAAACCCGGCCUUAAUUCAGAUUGCAGGCUGCAACUUGCUUGUAUCAAGUUAGAAUCGCUAGUAAUUACUGAUCAACCAUACGGUGGUGAAUAUGUUCCCGAGCCUUGUACACACCGCCCGUCACACUAUGGGAGUCGGUCAUACCCGAAAUUCUUAAUUUAACCUCAUCAAUCAAAGGGAAGAAUUAAGGUAGGGUUAGUGACUAGAGUGAAGUCAUAACAAUGUAGCCGUACCGAAAGGUGCGGCUG